GAUGAACGCUGGCGGCGUGCCUAAUACAUGCAAGUCGAGCGAACGGACGAGAAGCUUGCUUUUCUGAUGUUAGCGGCGGACGGGUGAGUAACACGUGGAUAACCUACCUAUAAGACUGGGAUAACGUCGGGAAACCGGAGCUAAUACCGGAUAAUAUUUUGAACCGCAUGGUUCAAAAGUGGAAGACGGUCUUGCUGUCACUUAUAGAUGGAUCCGCGCUGCAUUAGCUAGUUGGUAAGGUAACGGCUUACCAAGGCAACGAUGCAUAGCCGACCUGAGAGGGUGAUCGGCCACACUGGAACUGAGACACGGUCCAGACUCCUACGGGAGGCAGCAGUAGGGAAUCUUCCGCAAUGGGCGAAAGCCUGACGGAGCAACGCCGCGUGAGUGAUGAAGGUCUUCGGAUCGUAAAACUCUGUUAUUAGGGAAGAACAUAUGUGUAAGUAACUGUGCACAUCUUGACGGUACCUAAUCAGAAAGCCACGGCUAACUACGUG
rnacentral:rRNA from 1 species